ACGAACGCUGGCGGCGUGCUUAACACAUGCAAGUCGAGCGGUAAGGCCCUUUCGGGGGUACACGAGCGGCGAACGGGUGAGUAACACGUGGGUGACCUGCCCUCAGCUCUGGGAUAAGCCUGGGAAACCGGGUCUAAUACUGGAUAUGACUCCAUGACGCAUGUUGUGGGGUGGAAAGCCUUGUGCGGCUGAGGAUGGGCCCGCGGCCUAUCAGCUUGUUGGUGGGGUGAUGGCCUACCAAGGCGACGACGGGUAGCCGGCCUCGAGAGGGCGACCGGCCACACUGGGACUGAGACACGGCCCAGACUCCUACGGGAGGCAGCAGUGGGGAAUCUUGCGCAAUGGGCGAAAGCCUGACGCAGCGACGCCGCGUGAGGGAUGACGGCCUCGG
rnacentral:rRNA from 1 species